rnacentral:RNase_P_RNA from 1 species
UCCGCUAGACGACCGCUUGCCUGAAAUGGUAAGAGGAAAGUCCGGGCAGCAUAGGAUACGACAGUCGCUAACGGCGACCGGGGGUAACCCUAGGGAAAGUGCCACAGAAACAAUACCGCCUCGCGAAUGCAGUGUAGUUUGGUGAAAGCUCGACUACUACUGAGAGGUAAGGGUGAAAUGAGUGGGGUAAGAGCCCACAGCGUCAUAUGGUGACAUAUGGAGAAGGUAAACCCUGUCGGCUGCAAGGAGGUCAGCAUAAAAGAGUGGUCCGCUCGCUGGCCGAUACCCGCUGGAGUGUAUCAGCAAUGGUACAAGUAGAUAGAUGGUCGUCCUCGACAAAACCCGGCUUACAGGCUGGCUGCU